CCUUUCUAUACCUUCUCUGAUUCAUUCCUUUGCUCUCUUUUGUUGAUUAUUCUAUUCAUCUUAUAAUGCCUUUAUUCUUCUUCUUUGUCAGGUUAUCAUGAACGUGGAGCUUGGCUGAUUCACUCCUCAAAUACUUUGUUAAUUUUUGUUGCUAUUUCCUUCAUAGUUCUAUUUGACUUGUAUCUCUCUAUUUCCCUUUUUACUAUUCCAUUGCUCAUCCCAAAGUCGUAAUAAAAUCCAUUCCCAUUGAGAUAACACUUGCAUAAAGACCAUGGAGGAGAAUAUCAAGCGUUUAUUCCAGAUAGUUCAAUCGGUAUCGGAGGACAAUAACGCUAAGCGUGACCGCGUCAUGGAGGCGACUGAUUUGAAGCUAGAAGCGAUCCAGACUUCCAUCACACAGCUCCUUUCCGAUCAUAAACGUGACCAUUCUUUCAUGCAUGAGUCAUCAACAGGAUCGCACUCAGGAGCCGACAACUUCUAUCGAUGUGGCAGCAACAAAAGGUGAGUUUUGAUUUACCUAAAUUUGAUAUCUCCGAUGGGCUGGGUUGGAUCUUCUCUGCAGACCAAUACUUUGAUUUCUUUAGCAUUCUGAAAGAAGACCAAAUCAGUCUUGUUGCAAUACAUAUGACGGGCAUGGCCAUACCUUGGUUCCAAAUGUCUCAGUGUUCAGCACCAUUUCGCUCAUGGAAUCAACUUAAACAUGCCAGUGGGAUUGAGUUCGGACCUUCACUUUUCAAAUCUCCACGGGAAUUGAUCUUCAAGCUGCAACAGCAAGGCUCAGUGAGUAAUUAUUAUGUUGAAUUUAUCGCUCUUGCUAACCGCACUCACAUUCAUCCACUCAAUGCUUUGAGAGAUUGUUUCAUUAGUGUCCUCCGACCUGAUAUUAAGCGCGAGGUCAAGGCACAAUGCCCCCCUUUGCUAAUGAAGGUGGUGAGUUUGGCUAGAUUAUAUGAAGAUAAGUUUUCUUCCGCUCCUCGCCAUACUUCUGAUCCUACAUCUUAUCGAUCUCAGUUUCAGACUCCAGCUCCACAAUCACAAAUCAGAACACCUCCACGAAAUACCUUGCCGCCACUUUUACCUACUCCCAACCAAAAAUUGACCUUUCCUUCUUCCUGAAACCAGGUCCGAAAACUCUCCCCUGCUGAAAUUGAGAACCGGAGGGAAAAAGGGAAUGAUGAGCAAGACCUAGAUGAGAAUAAUGCAAUGGUCUCAACAGAGGACGGUCUUCUACAGCAGCUAAAUCAAGAGGUAAUUGAACAUCACCUCUCCUACAAUGCCAUGCAUUACACGUCGGGACCGACCACCAUUCUCAUCAAGGCAUAUCUUGGAAAAUUGGAGGUGCAAGUUUUGAUAGAUGGGGGAAGCUCAAACUGUUUUAUUCAACCCCAAAUUGAUAAGUUUUUGAAACUUCCGAUUGAGGCAGCACCGGGUUUUCUUGUGAUUGUGGGAACUUUUGAUGUCAUGCAAGUAGAGGACAGAGUUCCAUCGCUUGAGGUCACCUUGCAAGGGUACAAGGUUCAAAUUCCAAAUGCCUACGUCUUACAUGUGGCUGGGGGGACCUUGUUAUCGGAAGGACUUAGUUGAAGCGAUUGAGAACUCACAUUGUGGAUUAUGAGGCCACUUAUAUUCGAUUUCUUCAUGAAGAGAUUUUGAUAACUAUGUUUGGUGAAAGAGCAACCACCCCGACACUUGCUUAGUUCCAUCACAUUUGGCAGCUAGUUAACACUGAUUCAAUCGUCGAGGCUUUUGCAUUAAACUUCAGCAGCCAGAGGAGGAAGCUACCCUAACCUUGUAACUCCCUGACAAUAUGCAACCUGAUCUGGUUUUAUUGCUUCAUACUUAUGCAAGUGUCUUUGCACACCUUAUUGGCCUUCCGCCGUAGUGAUUAGAUGACCAUCACAUUCCUCUAGUCAAGGAUGCAGCACCUGUCAAAGUGCAACCUUAUCGGUAUCCACACAGUCAAAAGGCUCAAAUAAAGUUUAUGGUACAACAAAUGUUGGAUGAGGUAAUAAUUUACCUGAGCAAGAGCCCUUUUUUUCUCUCUGAUUUUACUUGUCAAAAAGAAAGAUGUUACGUGGCAGUGUUGUACUGAUUAUCAGGCAUUAAACAACAUUACUGUCAAAGAUAGUUUUUUUAAUAGCCAUUUGUGAUGAAUUGUUAGACAUAUUAUUCAGAGCUUGUGUCUUCUUUAAGCUGGAUUUACGCUCCGGCUAUCACCAAAUCUUGGUCAGGCCUAAGGAUAGAUAUAAGACAGCUUUUCGAACUCUUCAGGGCCGUUAUGAAUGGCUUGUCAUGCCAUUUGGGUACCCCAAUGCACCACCAACAUUCUAAACUUUGAUGAAUGAUGUUUUUCGGCCACAUUUAAGUAAAUUUAUUCUUGUUUUUUGGAUAACAUUUUGGUUUAUAGCUCUUCGUGGAGUAUGCACUUACACCAUUUGGAGAUAGUGUUGAAAUUGUUGCAACAAGAGACUUUGUAUGCCAAGCUCUCCAAGUGCUCAUUUGUGUUUGCUGACAUUGAUUAUCUGGGCCACACAGUCUCAAGAAGUGGAGUUCACAUGGAAAAAGCUAAAGUGCAGCCAAUUUUAGAUUGGCCACAACCCAUGAAUGUGAAAUAGCUCGGGGGAUUUUUAGGGCUUACGGGGUACUAUUGCCUGUUUAUCAGUCAUUAUGCUUCUAUAGCGGCACCCCUCACCAAUUUACUUAAGAAAGAUGCAUUCAAUCGGGAUGAGAAAGCUACUCAGGCAUUCCAACAUCUUAAGACUUUCAUUGCUUCUCAACCAAUUCUUGCUCUCUCUAAAUUCAAAUUGCCGUUCGAAGUUGAGAUCGAUAUGUCAGGAAUUGGCAUUGGUGCAGUUAUGAUGCAAGGAAAGCAUCCAAUAGCUUAUUUUUUGAAGAAAUUAUCCCCCUCUAUGCAGAAACAGUCCGCUUACACCCAGGAGUUCUAUGCCACUACUAAAGUCGUAGAAAAAUUCCAUUAUUACUUACUGAAAAAGAAGUUUGUCAUCCGUACUGAUCAAGAAAGCCUGAAAUCCCUAGUAGAUCAGACUUUGCAUACACCUGAGCAGCAGAAAAUGUUGCAUAAGCUCCUUGGGUAUGACUUCAAACUCCAAUAUAAGCCUGGCCAUGAGAACGCAACAGCUGAUGCUCUUUCUUGCUAUUUUUUCGUGACAUGGUCCAGCCUCAAAUUGGAGUGGUUGCAAUCUUUAAUGGUUGAGAUAGAUGCUGAUAACUGCCUCAAGAAACUCUGGUAGCACAGCACUAAUCAAGUUCAAGGUGAUGGGCACUACUCCGUGAGAAAUAGAAUUUUGUUGUGGAAAAACAAGGUAGUUAUUCCCUCCAAUAGUCGUUUGAUUCAACUCAUUCACAAGGAGUACCAUGAUAGCCCAAGUGGUGGCCACUCAGGCAUAGCAAAAACCGUUGAGAGAAUAUGUUCUAACUUUUAUUGGUAGAACAUGCACUAGGAUAUUCAGGAUUAUGUCUUGAGUUGCACCAUCUGUUAGCAAGCAAAGGCCGAUACGUUGAAGCCUACAGGCUUGUUGCAACUGCUACCGAUCCCUCAUCGAAUAUGGGAGGAUAUAUGUAUGGAUUUUAUAACGUCCUUACCAUCAUCUCAUGGCUAUUCAGUGAUUAUGGUUGUUGUUGAUCUGCUCACAAAAUUUGCUCACUUCAUAGCACUGAGACAUGAUUUUGAUAGCAAGUCCGUGGCCGAUGCCUUCAUGAAAAACAUUGUUAUACUUCAUGGAUUUUCCAAAUCCAUUGUAUCAGACUAGAAUCGUGUUUUUAUCAGUCGUUUCUGGCAGCAGCUGUUUAGUGCUUAAGGAUUAAGCUAGCGACGAGUUCUGCAUACCAUUCCCAAACCGACGGUCAGAGCAAGGUAUUAAAUAAAACCUUAGAGAUGUACCUUCGAUGCUUCUGCGUUGAAAAUUCGAAUAAAUGGUUGGAGAUGCUUUCGUAGGCCCAAUUUUGGUACAAUUCUUCUGUCCAUAAGAGUAUAAAAAUGUCCCCUUAUAAAGCCUUGUAUGGUCUUGACUCUCCCUCUUUAGUGCGAUAUGAACUUUCUUCUAUUGAUGACCAAUCUUUGCAAGAAUUAUUGGUGGCAAGGGAAGUAACUCAAGAGUAACCUGCUGGAAUCUCAGCAAUUUAUGAUGUCAUAUGCCGACAAGUAUCAAUGCCAUAUUGAGUUGGUAGAAAGGGAUAUGGUGCUGGUGAAGUUGCAACCAUACAGGUAACAUUACGUUGCGCUGCGUAAGAGCAGAAGUUGGGUAUGCGCUUCUAUGAUCCCUUUAAAAUCAUCAAGAAAUUGAGUUUUGUGGCCUACAAGCUUGAGCUCCCUCAAAAAGCUCGGAUCCACAAUGUUUUUCACAUUUCAGCCCUCAAGAAAUUUCGGGAGAGCAUCAGCAACACUAUCUACCUUUGCCUCUUCAGUCCAUGGAGGGAGGCCUGAUUAUUUCUCCUCAUGCUGUUCUAUCAAGGAGAACAAUGAUCAAAAAUGAUAAAAAAAAAAACAAUAGCCUAAGGUUCAAUGCGGACAAGGUCAGGGGGCUGAGCAUACUUGAAAAGUGGCAAAGGACUUUAUCAAGGCUUAACCAAAUUUCAACCUUGAGGACAAGAUUGAGGUUAAAAAGAGGGGUAAUGUAAGGAAUAUAAAUAAAGUUAGUAAUAUGAAAGGAAAUGAUGCUGAGCUGAAUGACCAAAUGGAAGAGCUAGUGCCUAAUGAAGAAGAAUUGGUUGAAAAACUGAGACACGUGACAACCAAUCCAAGAAUUUUGAGGCUGAGAAGGAGCUUGAGAGAACGUACUAUUAGUAGAAGGUUGUAGGACCAUGUUAGUAAGUUUCGUUGUGGUAUUGUCUCUUUAUCUCUCCUUCUUUUUUUCUGACCCCUUUUUGUACCUUCUCUAGUUCAUUUCUCUACUCUCCUCUGAUUAUUCUAUUCAUCUUAUAAUGUCCUUAUUCUUCUUCUUUAGCAGAUUAUCAUAAA